rnacentral:misc_RNA from 1 species
AAACACCAGUUCAUCCUGUCCGCCGACCUGAUUGAGAUAAACCAGCGGCAAUCCGCUUUCGGCCACACGUGCGACCGAUACCGACAGGCGCAUGUCGUUCUUUUCGCGCGUAUAGGGCGAUCCGUUCGGCACGAUCAGGAUUUCCGCGCCGGUCUCCGCGAGGCAUUCGACAACGUUCUCGUAGUCUUCGGACUCUUCCAUCCAUGUGUCUUCACAGAUGGGAACGCCGACCCGCACGCCGCGGAUGGUCACCGGCCCCGCCGCCGGCCCGCGCGCGAACACGCGCUUUUCG